ACCGUCUUUGUCUUGGGGUGAGAGCUUGCUCAAUGAACGUUUAGUGAGAGCAAGACUGCUAACACCAUAGAUAAAAUAAAAACGCAUCACCUUCUUCGGAAGGCAAGGGUGCAAUUUUUAAAGCC